rnacentral:rRNA from 1 species
UACGGGGGGAGCAAGCGUUGUUCGGAUUUACUGGGCGUAAAGGGCGCGUAGGCGGUCAGCACAAGUCAGUUGUGAAAUCUCCGGGCUUAACUCGGAAAGGUCAACUGAUACUGUGCGACUAGAGUGCAGAAGGGGCAACUGGAAUUCUCGGUGUAGCGGUGAAAUGCGUAGAGAUCCGGAGGAAGACCGGUGGCGAAGGCGGUCUGCUGGGCAGUUUCUGACACUGAGGCGCGACAGCGUGGGGAGCAAACAGG